UUGCUAAAUUGUAUAUAUCAUUAGUUUAAAUGAGCAGUUUGUCUCUACAAUGGAAAGACUUUUACAUACAUCCUUCUUGGCAAAAAUUAAAUAAAAAACAAGAAAGGGAGUAGUUAUAGGCGGUUGAGAAGACUCGGUCAUCUGAUCCAAAGCGCCAUGAGGUUGUUGAAGUUGCGCUUGUUGCGCCGAGCGGUGAUCGUGUUCCUCACAUCUCUGUCCAAUAAUUUGAAUGUUUCGGCUGAAGAGAGAUGGGUAUUGUUAUGGAGAAAAUUAUUCCUCUGUCUCCAUACGUGAUACACAACAUAUAUGUUGCAAUAACAAAGCUCGAAAUCAAAAUGUCUCCUCCUAGUCAUCCUGGUCCUCGCCCUCCUUCACGUGCCUACUCCCCACGGACACCAAGGCCAGCGCCUCAUGAGCCUCUUCCUCCACCUAUCUACCACUCACCACCACCAAGACCACCCCAUCCUGAGCCUCGCCCUCCUUCUCCACCGCCUCCUCCAGGAACUCCACCUCCCGGAGCUACCUUGUUUUCAAGACCUUCCGGUCUGCAGCAUCCACCUGGAAUACCAUAUUAAUAGCCAUGAAUGACUUCUUCGUCGAGUUAAGUAUGCGUAUAGAAAAUAUCCAUUUGUUGGUUUAUUAUGGGAGACGUGGUGGUCAUAGAGCCAGUCGUAGUUGUUGCAAUAAGUUCCUAUUGUAUAGGAGUAGUGCCAUUUAGCUAAUAAAGAAUUUUUUUCAAGUUGUUAAAGUCCUCCGAAAAAGAGAAAGUAGGAGGCAGUUUGUUUUAUGUUAAAAGGUUAUUUAAGAACCGGCUAAUC
rnacentral:lncRNA from 1 species